rnacentral:misc_RNA from 1 species
AAGUCGUAACAAGGUUUCCGUAGGUGAACCUGCGGAAGGAUCAUUAACACGUAUCCAACGUUAAAACCCCCCCCGUGAACUUUCAAUCCUGCUCUUGUAACCCGCGUAGUUCGCAAUCUCUGGUAAAUCAUAGCCCGGAAAGUUGUUUUGAUUCAGAGACCUCUGGCUACGUGAGAACAUUGGAACAGCUCCCCAUGCCCCCUUAUAACCCCACAGUUUAAUGUAAAGCUCAAUGUAAUACAUUGGGGAAAAAAACCGAACAACUGUUAACAAUGGAUAUCUUGGUUCUC